UCCACACUUGUUCUCCUUUCAAGAUACAAAUGAUGAAAGUUAUCUCGCCAAGGUGGAUUUUGUCUCCAAACUCCUCUUUGCACGUGUUAGGUAUAUCCUUGCUACUUACCCUCUCGAGUAGUUGGUGAUAUACGCUGGCCAAGUGAUGAAUGUAGCUCAGCUAACGCGAUAAAAUAUAUAAGCUAAACUUCUUAUCAAUAACUUAACACAAAUUUAAACUACAGAUGGAAAGUAAAGAUGUGAUGAAUUGGAAAGGUAAAAACAUGUAAUAUAUAUUAAAGAAUGUAAGUCUUCGACCACUAUACAAUAUGAAUAACAUAUAUUACAUACAAAUACAAAAAUGGAAAGUAUCGAAUAGAAAAUAUUACAAGUUAGGGGAAACUAGAACAUGGAUUCUUCUCUACCCAGAAUCUAAACUUUCACGUUACAAUUUGAUUGAAUAAGAAGAAGAAAACCUCUUUACAGAUGGUAGAAAGAUUAUUCCUUUCCACCUCUCUCUAGGGUUUGGCCUAUUUAGAUUGUCCUUGUAAAUAGUGUAGAAGAAGGCUUUUUAUAGACAACUUUUAGGCUGGAAACUAUUUCUUUCGUUGUGUCAGUGCCUAAAGUAGCCUCUGUCAACAGGUCACAUCACUCCAACUGCGGCUUUUGUCUUAUAUCGAACUUUUUCUCGCAAUAUGGCCUUCUCGUCUAAUUUUCGCGCAAGUUUCCUUGUGAUUCGCUAGCUUCAUCUUUUGUUCAUAAACAUGCAUUAAAACAAUAAAAACACAGUAAAAGAGGCAUGAGAGCUUAUGUAAGGUGCAUUUCCAAAUAUUUAUAGAUUUUCAACAUAAGCUAUGCGUUUUGACAAUUUUACUAUGCAUUUUGACUUCAUUAUCUAUUUGAAAGGCCAUAGUAAGUUGUAUUUCUACAAGUUAUCUAUAACUAAGUUGUAACAGAUCACUUGGCCCACGAUUUGGACAAACUGAUAAGGUCUUACGCUUCACCAAAUGUCUAUGAUUUCAACAGUGGGUUAAGACCCUAAGUUUGGCGAAACUGUGCGGUUUGAAAUCAAACUCAUAAUGUUGUAAAUAAUUAACUAAAUAUGCAAUGAAUAGAGAGAUACAGAAAAAUGAGAGAAUCAUAAAAAGAAAACAUCAAUAACAUAAAUUGACUUUUAAGCCUAUCUCGUUAUAGAGUCAAUAUUACAAAUCAAUGUUAUAAAAUACACAAAUGGAACACAGAAAAGUGAAGCAAGUUGUAGAGUAUCAGUGUUCAUACUCUUUGGCUCUGAGUUUUUGCCUUUACACGGAGGGGAAAUAGAAGGGAGAAUCUCUCUCUCUUCAGACUUUUACCUAAAACAGAGACAAAAUAGAGGAAGAAGGGUUCUUGCUGUCUGCAACAAAGUCUGCCAAAAUUCACACUCCUCCAAUGAAGAAGAAACUU
rnacentral:lncRNA from 1 species